GACUUCCUUUGGUGAUGAACAACAAUAUGGAAAUGUGCUGCCCACACUUCUGUCCCUUGGAUACCCAUCCACAUUUCACCCACAGCACCAGGAUGCCUCCCCGUUGUCUACUGCGAUGGGAGUGGCACUGUUAAGAG